rnacentral:lncRNA from 13 species
CUCUCAGUGCGCAGCGUGAGCACACUCGCCCGACUCCCGAGGUCUUAUCAGGGAGCUGCUGAUCACCAGUUUCAGGUGUUUUCUAUCUAUUAGGAGGCUGCCUCCGUGUGGCAUCGACUUCGACCAAUUGUUAUUUUAGAGAAACAGUUUAACAACCACCUGGCAUUGGCUUCGGCCAAUUACUGAUUUUAGAGAGACCAGUUAACAGUGGCCUAUCAUCUUACAUUGCUGGUUUGGAAAUCGCUCGAGCCAGUUUGUUUCCUAGGAUGACAUUCCUGGAGGUGUAUAGCAGUAUAUCCUGGGAUAUGAACAAAUGCAGAGAAAGCACAACUGUCAAAUGAAGAUGAAAAUAAUGAAGGCCUGUGAGAAGCGAGAGGGUCAGUGGGACAUCGUCAUGACUUCCGCCAGCUUUAGCCUUCUGCAAACUCUGAAAUCCAGGGACAGGGACAAAUUUGUUUCCUACUCUGCCAUGCCCACCGAUCACACUUCAUAGCUCUGGGAGAGAUACAGUGUGAGUAGUGGAU